UACGUAGGUGGCAAGCGUUGUCCGGAUUUACUGGGCGUAAAGCGCGCGCAGGCGGAUUGGUCAGUCCGGGGUGGAAUCUCACGGCUCAACUGUGAGCGGUCCCCGGAUACUGCCAGUCUUGAGGUGUCUAGAGGAGAGCGGAAUUCCCGGUGUAGUGGUGGAAUGCGUAGAUAUCAGGAGGAACACCAGCGGCGAAGGCGGCGCUCUGGGCCGGAACUGACGCUGAGGCGCGAAAGCGCGGGGAGCGAACAGG
rnacentral:rRNA from 1 species